rnacentral:rRNA from 1 species
CAUGUAGGCGGUCUGUUAAGUCUGGUGUGAAAGCCCGGGGCUCAACCCCGGAAGCGCAUUGGAUACUGGCAGACUUGAGUAUGGGAGAGGAAAGUGGAAUUCCGAGUGUAGGAGUGAAAUCCGUAGAUAUUCGGAGGAACACCAGUGGCGAAGGCGGCUUUCUGGACCAAUACUGACGCUGAGAUGCGAAAGCGUGGGGAGCAAACA